GAGCGAGUGGCGAAACCAGGCAGACGCAGCGGACUUAAAAUCCGCCGCCCCUUAGGGCGUGUGGGUUCGAAUCCCACCUCGCUCACCA
rnacentral:tRNA from 1 species